rnacentral:rRNA from 1 species
AUAUUAAAGUUGUUGCAGUUAAAAAGCUCGUAGUUGGAUUUUGGCGUGUUUGCAAUGGUCUGCCGUGAGGUAUGUACUGUUGUGGACACGCUUCUUCUCAAAGACUGCGUGUGCUCUUAAUUGAGUGUGCGUAGGGUUUGGGACUUUUACUGUGAGAAAAUUAGAGUGUUUAAAGCAGGCGUUUGCUUGAAUAUUGCAGCAUGGAAUAAUGGAAUAGGAUCACGAUCUUAUUUUGUUGGUUUCUAGGAUCGAGAUAAUGAUUAAUAGGGAUAGUUGGGGACAUUAAUAUUUAAUUGUCAGAGGUGAAAUUCUUGGAUUUAUGAAAGAUUAACUUCUGCGAAAGCAUUUGUCAAGGAUGUUUUCGUUAAUCAAGAACGAAAGUUAGGGGAUCGAAGACGAUCAGAUACCGUCGUAGUCUUAGCCAUAAACUAUGCCGACUAGGGAUUGGUGGCAGCUAAUUUUAUGGCUCCAUCAGCACCUUAUGAGAAAUCAAAGUUUUUGGGUUCCGGGGGGAGUAUGGUCGCAAGGCUGAAACUUAAAGGAA